rnacentral:sRNA from 1 species
AUGUGCCGCUCGUGUACUGCGAUUCUGAGCGCAGCGUCCGCACCCACCUGGCGGCGGCGCAGUAGUUUUGUUAGCC